UCCCAGGUACCUCAGCUGGUAAAGAACCCACCUGCAAUGUGGGAGACCUGGGUUUGAUCCCUAGAUUGGGAA
rnacentral:tRNA from 1 species